GUACGUAAGUUGUUGCAGUUAAAAAGCUCGUAGUUGGAUCUCAGGCUUGUGGCCGGUGGUCCGCUCGAUACGGGUGUGCACUGCCGUGUCCGGCCUACGUCUGGUCUAACGUCCAUAGUGCCCUUAACCGGGUGCUAUGGAAUGCCAGAAAGUUUACUCUGAAAAAAUUAGAGUGCUCAAAGCAAGCCGUUUGUGCUUGAAUACUGUUGCAUGGAAUAAUGGAAUAGGACCUCGGUUCUAUUUUGUUGGUUUUCGGAGUCGAGGUAAUGAUUAAGAGGGACAGACGGGGGCAUUCGUAUUGCGCCGUUAGAGGUGAAAUUCUUGGAUCGGCGCAAGACGAACAACUGCGAAAGCAUUUGCCAAGGAUGUUUUCAUUAAUCAAGAACGAAAGUCAGAGGUUCGAAGACGAUCAGAUACCGUCGUAGUUCUGACCAUAAACGAUGCCAACUGGCGAUCCGCCGCAGUCUGGCUUAAAGGACUCGGCGGGCAGCCUCCGGGAAACCUAAGUCUAUGGGUUCCGGGGGGAAGUAUGGUUGCAAAGCUGAAACUUAAAGGAAUUGACGGAAGGGCACCACCAGGAGUGGAGCCUGCGGCUUAAUUUGACUCAACACGGGAAAACUCACCCGGCCAGGACACC
rnacentral:rRNA from 1 species